GACGUAGGGCGCGAGCGUUGUCCGGAAUUAUUGGGCGUAAAGAGCUCGUAGGCGGUGUGUCACGUCGGCCGUGAAAACCUGCAGCUUAACUGUGGGCGUGCGGUCGAUACGGGCAUCACUGGAGUUCGGCAGGGGAGACUGGAAUUCCUGGUGUAGCGGUGAAAUGCGCAGAUAUCAGGAGGAACACCGGUGGCGAAGGCGGCACACUGGGCCGAUACUGACGCUGAGGAGCGAAAGCGUGGGGAGCGAACAGG
rnacentral:rRNA from 1 species